rnacentral:rRNA from 1 species
UACGUAGGGGGCUAGCGUUGUCCGGAAUCAUUGGGCGUAAAGCGCGUGUAGGCGGCCCGGUAAGUCCGCUGUGAAAGUCGGGGGCUCAACCCUCGAAUGCCGGUGGAUACUGUCGGGCUCGAGUGCGGAAGAGGCGAGUGGAAUUCCUGGUGUAGCGGUGAAAUGCGCAGAUAUCAGGAGGAACACCGAUUGCGAAGGCAGCUCGCUGGGACGUUACUGACGCUGAGACGCGAAAGCGCGGGGAGCGAACGGG